rnacentral:rRNA from 1 species
UACGGGGGGGGCAAGCGUUGUUCGGAAUUACUGGGCGUAAAGGGCUCGUAGGCGGCCAACUAAGUCAGACGUGAAAUCCCUCGGCUUAACCGGGGAACUGCGUCUGAUACUGGAUGGCUUGAGUUUGGGAGAGGGAUGCGGAAUUCCAGGUGUAGCGGUGAAAUGCGUAGAUAUCUGGAGGAAUACCGGUGGCGAAGGCGGCAUCCUGGACCAUUACUGACGCUGAAUCGCGAAAGCUAGGGGAGCAAACGGGG